rnacentral:rRNA from 1 species
AGUGAACGCCGGCGGUAGGCCUAACACAUGCAAGUCGAACGGCAGCACAGUAAGAGCUUGCUCUUACGGGUGGCGAGUGGCGGACGGGUGAGGAAUACAUCGGAAUCUACUUUUUCGUGGGGGAUAGCGUAGGGAAACUUACGCUAAUACCGCAUACGACCUACGGGUGAAAGCAGGGGAUCUUCGGACCUUGCGCGAUUGAAUGAGCCGAUGUCGGAUUAGCUAGUUGGCGGGGUAAAGGCCCACCAAGGCGACGAUCCGUAGCUGGUCUGAGAGGAUGAUCAGCCACACUGGAACUGAGACACGGUCCAGACUCCUACGGGAGGCAGCAGUGGGGAAUAUUGGACAAUGGGCGCAAGCCUGAUCCAGCCAUACCGCGUGGGUGAAGAAGGCCUUCGGGUUGUAAAGCCCUUUUGUUGGGAAAGAAAAGCAGCAGGUUAAUACCCCGCUGUUCUGACGGUACCCAAAGAAUAAGCACCGGCUAACUUCGUG